rnacentral:rRNA from 1 species
UACGUAGGGGGCCAGCGUUGUCCGGAUUCAUUGGGCGUAAAGCGCGUGUAGGCGGCCAGGUAGGUCCGAUGUGAAAUCUGGAGGCUCAACCUCCAGCGGUCAUUGGAAACCAUCUGGCUAGAGUCCGGAAGAGGAGAGUGGAAUUCCUGGUGUAGCGGUGAAAUGCGCAGAUAUCAGGAAGAACACCGGUGGCGAAGGCGGGAUCCUGGGCCAGUACUGACGCUGAGGAGCGAAAGCGUGGGGAGCGAACAGG